rnacentral:rRNA from 1 species
GACGAACGCUGGCGGCGUGCUUAACACAUGCAAGUCGAACUGUAAGGCCCUUCGGGGUACACGAGUGGCGAACGGGUGAGUAACACGUGGGUGAUCUGCCCUGCACUUCGGGAUAAGCCUGGGAAACUGGGUCUAAUACCGGAUAGGACCACUGCCUGCAUGGGUGGUGGUGGAAAGCUUUUGCGGUGUGGGAUGGGCCCGCGGCCCAUCAGCUUGUUGGUGGGGUGAUGGCCUACCAAGGCGACGACGGGUAGCCGGCCUGAGAGGGUGACCGUCCACCCUGGGACUGCGAUCCGGCCCAGACUCCUACGGGAGGCAGCAGUGGGGAAUAUUGCACAAUGGGCGCAAGCCUGAUGCAGCGCCGCCGCGUGAGGGAUGACGGCCUUCGGGUUGUAAACCUCUUUCAGCACCGACGAAGCGCAAGUGACGGUAGGUGCAGAAGAAGGACCGGCCAACUACGUGCCAGCCGCCGCAGUAA